rnacentral:rRNA from 1 species
CCUACGGGCGGCAGCAGUGGGGGAUAUUGCACAAUGGGGGGAACCCUGAUGCAGCGACGCCGCGUGGGUGAAGAAGCGCCUCGGCGCGUAAAGCCCUGUCAGCAGGGAAGAAAAUGACGGUACCUGAAGAAGAAGCACCGGCUAACUACGUGCCAGCAGCGGCGGUAAUACGUAGGGGGAAAGCGUUAUCCGGAUUUAUGGGGUGAAAAGGGGGCGCAGGCGGCGAUGCAAGCCCGGAGGGAAAGCGCGGGGCCCAACCUCGGGUCGCUUCUGAUACCUCCGGGCCGGAGGUGGAGAGGGGGAGGCGGAAUUCCGGGGGAAGCGGGGAAAUGCGUAGAUAUAGGGAAGAACACCGAGGGCGAAGGCAGCGUGCUGGCUCCAUACUGACGCUGAGGGACGAAAGCGUGGGGAGCAAACAGGAUGAGAUACCCGAGUAGUC